UGCGUUUGUUAACGUUAUAGCAUUGACCAUACUUCAGACUUACUACUCUCUUACUAGUUUCAGUACGGUACAAUUUUUAAAAUACGCACCUAUUUAUUUUGGACGCUUUCAUGUAUUAGUAUGUUUGCUUUUCAUCUUGCAUUAUAUAAAUGUUACGGACAAGAAUUUCCAAAAUAUUCCUCGGUGGAGUUACACCACUAUUGGAAGAACGUAUGACAAUGAGGUUAAGAAAAACGCCCUAUAUACUUACAUCUUGGUCGCGUGCAUUGUAAUGGCAGGUUUUGGUAGUAGUGUUCUUUAUGCAAUACCAACGGAGAAAGACAACGAAAUUUUCUUCAUUAUGACUUGGUUUGAAGACAAUUUGUUGGAAUGGGCUGAUAUUUUAUCUUUGUGUCAUCGAAUGAGUUUCCUUUUUGUUUCUGUGAUAAUGCAAGCUCCGUGUUUGCAAAUUUGCUAUAUGAUAAAACAUACUCAGUAUCAAGUAGGCAUCUUGAAAAGCAUCCUAGAAAAUAUACAUCAAGGAUUUGAUAAUUUGGACGAACUUGUUUACGACGAUAAUUUUCACAAAGAAAUAAAAAAAAGAUUAGUGUUUUGUAUUAAACGCCAUAUUAAUAUCACUUUAGUAGGAAGGAAAAUGGUGAGAGAUACUGGUAUUUUUGUGCUUUUUCUUUCCAUUAGUGGGGCAAUGUUGGGUGUAAGUCUAAUGAUGUUUUUCUAUGUGAUUGAGGAUACACCGACUUUUGUGAAUGUCCGUCUUUGUGCUCUGAUUUUUGCGGCUACGAUAACAGGGAUGUUGUAUGUGAUCCAAGGCCAAAACACUGAAGACAUUAGCGAAGAGUGUUUUCAAACUUUGACUGAAAUGGGAUGGUAUUACUGGAAUGAAGAAAAUAAAAGAAUCUAUCAGCUUUUGUUUAUUAACUCUUGUGAACCAUUUUCUAUCAGAUUUUCAGAAAAUAUGGCAGUAAAUUACAAAUUAGGAAUUGAGUUGGCAAAAGCUGUAUACUCUAUGAUGUCAUUUAUGACGUAUGUUUCUAAUUACAUCAAAAAUUAAUUAAACACAAACACUCAUUUUUAUGAUUUCUUGCAACUAAUAUAGCACCUAUGUUGACCUUGGCUUGUAAAAAUAAAAUAAAUUGUCAGC